UACGUAGGGUGCAAGCGUUAAUCGGAAUUACUGGGCGUAAAGCGUGCGCAGGCGGUUAUGCAAGACAGAUGUGAAAGCCCCGGGCUCAACCUGGGAACCGCGCUUGAGACUGGCAUGCUCGAGUUCGGGAGAGGAUGGUGGAAUUCCCAGUGUAGAGGUGAAAUUCGUAGAUAUUGGGAAGAACACCGAUGGCGAAGGCAGCCAUCUGGACCGACACUGACGCUGAGGCGCGAAAGCGUGGGGAGCAAACAGG
rnacentral:rRNA from 1 species